CCUACGGGAGGCUGCAGUGGGGGAUAUUGCACAAUGGGGGGAACCCUGAUGCAGCGACGCCGCGUGGGUGAAGGAGUUCUUCGGCAUGUAAAGCCCUAUCGGCAGGGAAGAAGCAAAACGGUACCUGACUAAGAAGCCCCGGCCAACUACGUGCCAGCAGCCGCGGUAAUACGUAGGGGGCGAGCGUUAUCCGGAUUCACGGGGUGUAAAGGGAGCGUAGACGGGCAUGCAAGCCCUGGGGGAAAGCCCGGGGCCUAACCCCGGGACUGCCCUUGGAACUGCAUGGGUGGAGUGCGCGAGGGGCAGGCGGAAUGCGUGGUGUAGCGGUGAAAUGCGUAGAUAUCAGGAGGAACACCGGCGGCGAAGGCGGCAUGCUGGCCCGCGACUGACGUUGAGGCUCGAAAGCGUGGGGAGCGAACAGGAUUAGAUACCCGUGUAGUC
rnacentral:rRNA from 1 species